rnacentral:tRNA from 1 species
GGGGUUGUAGCUCAGUGGUAGAGUACUUGCCUUGCACGCGUGAGGCCCUGGGUUCAAUCCUCAGCACCA